rnacentral:rRNA from 1 species
AUUGAACGCUGGCGGAAUGCUUUACACAUGCAAGUCGAACGGCAGCACGGACUUCGGUCUGGUGGCGAGUGGCGAACGGGUGAGUAAUAUAUCGGAACGUGCCCAGUCGUGGGGGAUAAGGUGGCGAAAGCUACGCUAAUACCGCAUACGAUCUACGGAUGAAAGCGGGGGAUCGCAAGACCUCGCGCGAGUGGAGCGGCAGAUAUCAGAUUCGGUAGUUGGAGAGGUAAAGGCGCACCAAGCCGACGAUCUGUAGCUGGUCUGAGAGGACGACCAGCCACACUGGGACUGAGACACGGCCCAGACUCCUACGGGAGGCAGCAGUGGGGAAUUUUGGACAAUGGACGCAAGUCUGAUCCAGCCAUUCCGCGUGCAGGACGAAGGCCUUCGGGUUGUAAACUGCUUUUGUACAGAACGAAAAGGUCUCUAUUAAUACUAGGGGCUCAUGACGGUACUGUAAGAAUAAGCACCGGCUAACUACGUGCCAGCCGCCGCAGUAA